UACGGGGGGAGCAAGCGUUGUUCGGAUUUACUGGGCGUAAAGGGCGCGUAGGCGGUCAGCACAAGUCAGUUGUGAAAUCUCCGGGCUUAACCCGGAAAGGUCAACUGAUACUGUGCGACUAGAGUGCGGAAGGGGCAACUGGAAUUCUCGGUGUAGCGGUGAAAUGCGUAGAUAUCGAGAGGAACACCUGCGGCGAAGGCGGGUUGCUGGGCCGACACUGACGCUGAUGCGCGAAAGCGUGGGGAGCAAACGGG
rnacentral:rRNA from 1 species